AAUUAGAAUAACAUUGAUCCAGAGCUGCUGACUGUUUGUCCGAGUCCAUUUCAACAAAGACAAGAAGAAACAGCCAUGAACGCCCGAGUCACACUGAUGCUAGUCUUGGCCGCUCUGCUGCUCUUUGCAGGCGCAGAGGCAGGACGGAUCUGUGAUGCAAGGGGAGGAUCAUGCAGCAGUUCCUUCUACUGUGACUUCAGGCUUAACCACUGGGUGAUUACACCUGACUGCAGCCAAAGCGGACUAGUGUGCUGUCUGGAACGCUGAGGACAAAACCCACUUUGAGAUGAGAGAAGAGACCUGAUUCACUCCCAGGAGGGAAAGCUACUUUUUGUGCUGUA